rnacentral:rRNA from 1 species
AUGCCCUGCGACGACAAGUGCGGCUGCGCCAUGCCGUGCCCGGGCGGCGCCGCCUGCAGGUGCGCCGGGAAGAAGCAGAGCAGCGGCGGCGGGGCGGUGCCGGUGAACCCCGCGGCCGUGGCGCACACCACCUGCACCUGCGGCGAGCACUGCUCCUGCAGGCCGUGCCCCUGCGGCCGGCUCGGCUCCGGCGACGGCGCCGGCAGGGCCGACUGCACCUGCGGCCCCACCUGCACGUGCGUCGUCUGCACCGCCUGA